rnacentral:lncRNA from 1 species
GGCUCUGUGGCAGGGAGUGGGAGGGUGAUUAACAGGGGAAGAAUUAGGAAAGAGGACACGCAAGACCACAGUAAGAGAUGGAAAUAAGAGAAUAUUCCUGAUUUCCACUGGAUGACUUUGACUGGUAUGAUUUCAUUCUCUGAAAGUGUUAACCAGGGUGCAGCAUGGCCAGAAACCAUUCCGAGCCUCAUGAAGUGGGCAAGUCAGGUUUGGUCAUUUUUGGUAAUGUCAUUGCAUGUACACAGUUUAAGACAGAGCAUCUGGUGAUUCUCGGACCUUCAAGCAAGUGUCACAUCUCAGGUGAACCUUGGCAGUUUUAAGAUGAACAAAGUAAUCAAAGCAAAAAUGUCAAAUAAUAAUAAUAAUAAUGAUAUCAGAAGAAUGUCCAGUGCCAUGGUUGGAUUCCCAGAAGGCAGCAUCUGCUCAUGCCAUCAACAACAUGGUGCCAUUUCAGUCAUCCUCUUUUUGUCCCAAAGACAGAAAAAAAAUAGAAAAAAGAAAGAGAAAAAGACACCACGAACCGUCUAUCCUCCUGGUAAUACAAAUACACCUGUAAAUAAACAUGUCAAUGUCUACACACAACGCACAUUUAUGCAGAAUCCAUCCUCUCGGUGCUUCCGUAGUUAUCAAGUAAAAGUCCUUCUAAGCCUAAGAAAUGAUAGUAUUAAUUCAGUCUUGGGGUGUGGGGGGAAAGGUGGACUAUCAUCAAAUAAAAAAGGCGAGGCUAAUUAAGUGACAUCCACUGGGGACUGGGAAAAGAAGAGACUUCUUGUGGGAAAGUAAUUAUAUCUUCAUUGACCCUCCUGGGGUACCCCCAGUGGCAGGGACUCUGCCUCGCGGUGUGACAUCUCCUUUCGGGAUGAGCAGCCAGUCACCUCGAGAAGCCCCCUUCUCCAUGGAUGCGUUUUCUAAUCAUUUCACAUGAUUGAGCCUCCAGCAAGUGAUGCUUUACUUAAUUCCUUUCCGCCUGUAGGGUGUGAGGUUUGGAGGGCCUCUCGUCAAAACUUUGGAGGGCUCUGUCAGUUUGAAAAGAACAUGACCUUUAAAUUGUAUCAGUAUGUUUGCUGGUGCAUAAGGGAGAGGAAAAGGUUCGUCCUGAUGGAAAACCACUCAGAAGCCAAGGAGUAAUUCAGAGGGAACCAGCCCAGGAAGAAUCAAGAAAGCUGCCCACAGUGUCAUUCUUCAGCUGAGAAAAGAGAGAGUUGACUAACUCCUCGGACUGGAGUGAGGACUCACAGAGGUGGUGAGAAGCCAUCCUCUCUUGAAUGGGGGCUCCCACUGUACAUCUGGCACCCACUUCACAGAUUCUGGGGGAUGUCAACACCAGCACUGCUGAGCUGUGUGACCUUGAGCAAGACAGUUAGCCUCUCUGAACCUCAGUGUCCUUCUCUGUAGGCUGGAGAUUGAUAUACCUUCAUUAUCGGGGUAUGAGAGUGUUAUAAGGUGGGAUGGUGGAACACGCUGACUGGUCUGGGCUAUUCAAGAUCCAUGAACUGGAAGAUGCUUUCUUAUAACUCAGAGAAAAGAGAUGAAAAUGAAUCAAAGAACAGGAAGGAGACAAGCUCAGGAGAGUCACCCUAAGAAGGAUGUGUGGAAGACUUGACUGGAGGAUCAAAAUGUGUCGGGGGAAGGUGUACAAGGAGGAGUAAGGACACAGAUGUCCUGACUUCACACAGUGGGGGAUUAGAAGCCACCAUCAAACACAGAUGAAACAGGAAUAAAAGUAGUAGUACAUUACUUAAGCUUUAAAAGGGUAAGACUCCUGGGAAUUUGGAAGCUGAGACUUGAGGCAAGUAUUUAGGAUUUGCUGUCUCACCUCCCUGCUAUGACAGUCCUUAAUUAAUGGAGAUGAUGGAGAACAGCUUGCUGGGCUGAGUGGCAGGAGCCAUGCAGCUGCUGGGGCUGGAGUGGGUCAGGAAGCUUCAUCAAUCUGGGACACAUGACGUGCUUGGUGGUGGCGGAGCCUGACGCAUCCCUCUUCAUCGACAUUGUGUCAAUAGGAGCAGAGGCAUUUAGCUGUGUAAACACAGAGCUUCAGUGGCAGCACCCUAAAUGCUUAGCUGAUAGAUCCGGAAUUAAAUACAGACCUAGAAACUGGAGUUGGAAAACUUCCUGGCAGCACUCCUUCCCUGCCAUCCCGGUGAUCCCCUUCUGGAUGGAGGGUGUGGAGCUCAGCACAUUCACGUCUGCAGUUCUCAGAGAACCAAGUGUUAAGGAAUGUCAGGGAAGGAAGAAGGCAGCCAGCCAGGAAGGGGAGGUCCUGGCCUGAGCACGCCAGGCACAGAGGGAUAGAGGGUAGGGAGGAAACUGCACCUGUCUCCAACCCUCGACCCCAGCCCCGAAACACGACAUUGGCUGAAACAGAUUAAAAGCAUAAAAUGGCCCAAAGAAAUGGGAGAAGGUUGGCCUCUGGUCGGGCAAACAUGAGGGCAUGAAGAUAUAUAAUGUCCCACACGGGAGGAAACCCUUGCCGGGCCCCUCAGGAUUUAUAACAAGCUCACCUGAAGGAGAAACUUCAGGGGCACUUACACCAUCAGAUACCUAGAAAGGAGCUGUCAUUUCCUCACUGAAGAGUUUGCAAGCAGAUGGAAAAUGUGUGUCUGGAUCAUCUUGUGGCCCGAAUGGGGAGAAAAGAUGCAGUAUUCCAAAGCAGGAGAUUCACUGAAAAAGAUGUUUAAGAAGUUGCUGAUGAAGAAAAGUUCAGGAUUCACAGCUCCAUACAAAGGGAAUAGCCACUUUUCUCAUUUUGAGAUAUGACUACUAACAAGUAUUAUUCUGCAUCUUCAGCCAGGCUGUGGAAGGCCCCAUUCUUUCUGUAACACAGAUGUUCAAUUGGAAUUUUCCAUCUGGUCACAUAAUUCUGCUUUGGGAUUUAACAGGUUAACUUGGCACUGGUCACUGGCCUUGGAGGGCAAAAUAUGAUAGUUCAGCAUAGAUUCUAUUUGUUGAUAACUCAUCAUAGCCACAUUGGCAUCAAUAAGUUUUCUGUAGGGCACACUUUUCCUUUAAUGUGGACACAGUCACAUAAUAAUAUGCUUAUGGUGCAGACGUUGGUUCUAAACUCACUUUGCAUUAUCUGUAUCUGUAUCUGCAUCUAUAUCUGUAUCUGUAUCUAUCUGUAUCUACAUCUGU